AGCUCCUUUCCCCAGCAAAGCCACAGGGUCCCCGCCAGCCUCCAGCCCCAAGCCAAAGGGGUCAUAAAGAAGAGCAUCCUCCUCCAAGGGCUUGGCUAAAAGGGGGCCUGUGGGCCUCAGAGACCAGCCCCUCCCACCCCUGAGUCAUGCAUGUGUACCCAGCCAGGUUCCAGAAAGGGUUGCCGGGGCCAGCACUGGCCAGACACUGGUGGACGUGUGACUGGCCUGGUGAGUCACUUGGCCUAUGGGGCGUCAGUCAUCUCAUCUGUGAAAUGGCCACAUGGGAUAUAAAAGUGGAAACCGGGCCAGGCCUGGGGGAGGUUCUCGGGUUCAACCCAUCCCUGUGCAGCCUGUGUUUGGGGGCAGGUCUGGCUAGGCCCCCAGACCGACCGUUUACCAUUUUUACCACCCCCAUCUUACAGAGCAGGAAACAGAGGCUCCAGAGGCCAGGAGCCAGGGCUGCAGGACAAACGGAGCAACAGCUGCCCUCUGAAAUUGGAGGAGCCGGCAAAGACGUCUGCACUGUUUGGCUGCCCCGCUGUCCGGCACUGAGCAUUCGUCACACUGUGUGGUACAAAAAUGCUGCCCUGGGAUCUCCCUGGACUUGUGCUGCUUGCAAGGGGUGGGCCAGCAUUCAUGUGCGCUAUGUGCACGACUUUUAUGAGGAUAACUGGUUUUCAUUUUCCAGUCAAAUGUUACACACCUCAAGGUUGGAACCAUUUAACUUUUACACAACACAGCACCCAACAGAGAGCUGGCUAGAUACAGAGCAGGCACUCAGCUAUUCACUAGAACCAGCGAUGUUAUGCCGUGUUGCUGUGUUGUUUAGAAUGACUUGUCUUCAUGCUAUAAA